rnacentral:rRNA from 1 species
AGCGAACGCUGGCGGCAGGCUUAACACAUGCAAGUCGAGCGGGCACUUCGGUGUCAGCGGCAGACGGGUGAGUAACACGUGGGAACGUACCCUUUGGUUCGGAAUAACGCUGGGAAACUAGCGCUAAUACCGGAUACGCCCUUUUGGGGAAAGGCUUGCUGCCGAAGGAUCGGCCCGCGUCUGAUUAGCUAGUUGGUGGGGUAAUGGCCUACCAAGGCGACGAUCAGUAGCUGGUCUGAGAGGAUGAUCAGCCACACUGGGACUGAGACACGGCCCAGACUCCUACGGGAGGCAGCAGUGGGGAAUAUUGGACAAUGGGCGCAAGCCUGAUCCAGCCAUGCCGCGUGAGUUAUGAAGGCCUUAGGGUUGUAAAGCUCUUUUGUCCGGGACGAUAAUGACGGUACCGGAAGAAUAAGCCCCGGCUAACUUCGUG